GUCUAUGGCCAUAGCACCCUGAACACGCCCAAUCUCGUCUGAUCUCGGAAGCUAAGCAGGGUCGAGCCUGGUUAGUACUUGGAUGGGAGAGAGAAUAUUUUUAAUAUUUAUU
rnacentral:rRNA from 1 species